CAAGAUGUAGCUUAGUUAAAGCACCCGGCUUACACCCGGAAGACUUCACCUCCCCAUGAACAUCUUGA
rnacentral:tRNA from 1 species